rnacentral:rRNA from 1 species
AUACGGAGGGUGCAAGCGUUAUCCGGAAUCACUGGGUUUAAAGGGUGCGUAGGCGGCUAAAUAAGUCAGAGGUGAAAUCUUUCCGCUUAACGGAAAAAUUGCCUUUGAAACUGUAUAGCUUGAAUGAAGUUGAGGUUAGCGGAAUGUGACAUGUAGCGGUGAAAUGCAUAGAUAUGUCAUAGAACACCAAAUGCGAAGGCAGCUAGCUAGGCUUGAAUUGACGCUCAGGCACGAAAGCGUGGGGAGCGAACAGGAUUAGAAACCCUAGUAGUCC